rnacentral:misc_RNA from 1 species
UUAAGAUUUAUUGGGGAGAUGCUCGUGAGAAGAUUUGUGAAGCAAUUGAUAACAUUCCUAUUACUUGUCUCAUCAUUGGGAACAGAGGUCUUGGCAAGCUUAAGAGGGCCAUAUUGGGGAGCGUAAGCAAUUAUGUGGUGAACAAUGGUUCCUGUCCAGUCACUGUGGUAAAGAGAGCAGAUAAUGAGAACUGAUCAUCCCAGCCCACAACACUCUUAAAAUCUAUAUAUUCCCAUUCAAAUUUUCUGAUUCUGAUUUUGUUUUGUGAAAUUGGUAAUGUAUUGUUGAUGGCGUGUCCUUAGUUGCUGUGUUGUUAAAAUGUUUCUCAAAUAAUGAGAGAGCUUUUAUGGUCUGUGAUAGGAUGAUUUCUAGAGGUUGUUUGG